GGGGGGGGGGGGGGGGGGGGGGGGGGGGGGCGGGGCGGGCGGGGGGGGCGGGUGUGGGGGCGGGCGGGGGCGUGACGGGUGGGGACCGGCGCUUGGGUGCGGCCUAACUCCCCGAGGGGGGUUCUCCUACCGGAUAGUGUCUGCGUGCCACGUCUUUCUAGCCUUUUGAUGGGCCCGCGUGGGGUGCGCUAGUUGGUAGGGUAAAGGCCUCCCCAGGCGCCGAUCCAUAGCUGUUCUGAGAGGAGGAUCAGCCAAACUGGGACUGAGACACGGCCCAGACGCCUACGGGAGGCAGCAGUGGGGAAUAUUGGACAAUGGGCGAAAGCCUGAUCCAGCAAUGCCGCGUGAGUGAUGAAGGCCUUAGGGUUGUAAAGCUCUUUUACCCGGGAUGAUAAUGACAGUACCGGGAGAAUAAGCUCCGGCUAACUCCGUG
rnacentral:rRNA from 1 species